CCCUUAGAUGUUCUGGGCUGCACGCGUGCUACAAUGGCGUUUCCAGCAAGUCUGCGAACCCGAGAGGGCCAGCGGAUCUUCGAAUUGGCGUCGUGAUCGGGACAGUCGAUUGCAAUUAUUUGACUCAAACGAGGAAUUCCUUGUAAUCGCGAUUCAUCAUAUCGCGCUGAAUACGUCCCUGCCCUUUGUACACACCGCCCGUCGCUCCUACCGAUUGAAUGAUCCGAUGAAUACCAUGGAUUGAGAGUACGAAUAGGUUCGCUUAUUUCUGCUUCUCGAGAAGUGGAGUAAAUCUUAUCAUUUAGAGGAAGGAGAAGUCGUAACA
rnacentral:rRNA from 1 species